rnacentral:tRNA from 1 species
UGUGUUUAAGUAUAGCAGUUGUACAUAGAAAUUUGAAUUCUAAAGAAAAAACACAA